rnacentral:lncRNA from 1 species
ACCGGGGAAGAGGAUAGGGUGAUUUAGAGGUAACAAAAAUCACUUUCAAUAUGCUGGUCUUAUAUCAAUGAAUCACGGUCCAAGUGAUAUGCCAAAUUCGAGCCAAGGCUUCAACAAAAAAUAUUUAUCAUUUAUUCACAACACUUUCAAAGAAACUGCUAAUCUCCCAUACAGCAUGGAUACAAUAAUUUGUGAUCUUUAUAAUGCUCAUGAUUUUCUUCCGAGAAUAAUGACCGACAUAGCAAUCUUGAAUUAGAAAUAAAGUAAAAUACACAAUCUGCAAGCAAGAACUAGCUAAAUACCAAGCUGGUCCACAAUCCUUAGGUACACAUAAUGGAGAAGUGUAUCCUAAUGCAAGCUACAACCUAAUGCAAG